rnacentral:rRNA from 1 species
ACGUAGGUGGCAAGCGUUGUCCGGAAUUACUGGGUGUAAAGGGAGCGCAGGCGGGGAGACAAGUCAGCUGUGAAAACUAUGGGCUUAACCCAUAGAUUGCAGUUGAAACUGUUUUUCUUGAGUGGAGUAGAGGUAGGCGGCAUUCCGAGUGGGGGGGUGAAAUGCGUAGAUAUUCGGAGGAGGACCAGUGGAGAAGGCGGCCUACUGGGCUCUAACUGCCUUUGAGGCUCGAAAGUGUGGGGAGGAAACAG